rnacentral:rRNA from 1 species
AGAGAUCAUGGCUCAGGAUGAACGCUAGCGGCAGGCCUAAUACAUGCAAGUCGAACGGGGUAGCAAUACCCAGUGGCGCACGGGUGCGUAACGCGCAUGCAACCUACCUCAAACUGGGGGAUAGCCUCCCGAAAGGGAGAUUAAUACCGCAUAAGACAACACGAGGGCAUCCGAGGGUUGUUAAAGAUUCAUCGGUUUGAGAUGGGCAUGCGUGCCAUUAGCUAGUUGGUGGUGUAACGGACCACCAAGGCGACGAUGGCUAGGGGUUCUGAGAGGACGGUCCCCCACACUGGCACUGAGAUACGGGCCAGACUCCUACGGGAGGCAGCAGUAGGGAAUAUUGGGCAAUGGGCGGAAGCCUGACCCAGCCAUGCCGCGUGCAGGAUGAAGGCCUUCUGGGUUGUAAACUGCUUUUACAGGGGAAGAAAACACCCAUGCGUGGGGAACUGACGGUACCCUGGGAAUAAGCACCGGCUAACUCCGUGCCAGCAGCCGCGGUAAUACGGAGGGUGCAAGCGUUGUCCGGAUUUAUUGGGUUUAAAGGGUGCGUAGGCGGCUUCUUAAGUCAGCGGUGAAAGCCCGGGGCUCAACCCCGGAACUGCCGUUGAUACUGGGAGGCUUGAUUCUGGACUUAGGUUGUU